UACGGAGGGUGCAAGCGUUGUCCGGAUUUAUUGGGUUUAAAGGGUGCGUAGGCGGUCUUUUAAGUCAGUGGUGAAAUCCUGCAGCUCAACUGUAGAAUUGCCAUGAUACUGAAAGACUUGAGUACAGACGAGGUAGGCGGAAUUUAUGGUGUAGCGGUGAAAUGCAUAGAUACCAUAAAGAACACCUAUUGCGAAGGCAGCUUACUAGGCUGUAACUGACGCUGAGGCACGAAAGUGUGGGGAUCAAACAGG
rnacentral:rRNA from 1 species